rnacentral:rRNA from 1 species
UCGAGCGAGAAGCUGAUGACAGAUACUUCGGUUGAAGGAGUCAGUGGAAAGCGGCGGACGGGUGAGUAACGCGUAGGCAACCUGCCCUUUGCACAGGGAUAGCCAUUGGAAACGAUGAUUAAAACCUGAUAACACCAUUUGGUUACAUGAGCAGAUGGUCAAAGAUUUAUCGGCAAAGGAUGGGCCUGCGUCUGAUUAGCUAGUUGGUAAGGUAACGGCUUACCAAGGCGACGAUCAGUAGCCGACCUGAGAGGGUGAACGGCCACAUUGGAACUGAGACACGGUCCAAACUCCUACGGGAGGCAGCAGUGGGGAAUAUUGCACAAUGGGCGAAAGCCUGAUGCAGCAACGCCGCGUGAAGGAAGAAGGCCUUCGGGUCGUAAACUUCUGUCCUUGGGGAAGAAGAACUGACGGUACCCAAGGAGGAAGCCCCGGCUAACUACGUGCCAGCAGCCGCGGUAAUACGUAGGGGGCAAGCGUUAUCCGGAAUUAUUGGGCGUAAAGAGUACGUAGGUGGCAACCUAAGCGCAGGGUUUAAGGCAAUGGCUCAACCAUUGUUCGCCCUGCGAACUGGGAUGCUUGAGUGCAGGAGAGGAAAGCGGAAUUCCUAGUGUAGCGGUGAAAUGCGUAGAUAUUAGGAGGAACACCAGUGGCGAAGGCGGCUUUCUGGACUGUAACUGACACUGAGGUACGAAAGCGUGGGGAGCAAACAGGAUUAGAUACCCUGGUAGUCCACGCCGUAAACGAUGAGCACUAGGUGUCGGGGUCGCAAGACUUCGGUGCCGUAGUUAACGCAUUAAGUGCUCCGCCUGGNGAGUACGCACGCAAGUGUGAAACUNAAAGGAAUUGACGGGGACCCGCACAAGCAGCGGAGCAUGUGGUUUAAUUCGA